CACGGAAAACAGCUAAAUACCUGGAGACUCCUCAAAGAACUGACACUACAGACGUCCCCUGCUCUAUUGUGCUCUAGCUAGGUCUCUUUCUAAAGGUCCGGAGACAUCAAAAUAACCCUGGACCUCAGCUCAGAGGCCCGUGGGGCUCGGAGGGUCCCAGGUCCCGCGCUUCACCGCAGCCUCUGGGCCAGGCCCUCCUAUAUGCUGGACGCGGGUCGCACACCGUUCCCAGCCAGGGUGCAGACGCUGGGGCGGCCAGGACCCCACAACCGCCGCCAUGCAGACUACUGGGGCUCAGAUGCCCACAAGGAGUCAGGGCCCAAAAGCGAGCAGCGGGGAAGGAGCAGGGAGGCCCAGAGGCUUCCCGGUGAGGUCCAUGCCCCGCCACUUACCACGGAGACCUGCCUCCUGCUCCCCCAUCACGUGGAAGCCACCACGGCUGCUCGGAAGCUCGCUGGGACCGCGCCACCACUUCUGGACGCUGCAGCUUCUGUUCCCUGGGACACGACUCCUCUUCUGCUCCACGGGACCGCGCCGCCACCUCUGGCCGCCGCUUUUGCUCUCUCCGACCACACCGCCACGGCUUCCGCUUGCUUCAACGACGCCAUGGCUUCUGCCGGGGGCCCUGCCGGAGGCGCCCUCUCAGCUUCCGUAGAGGCUCGCACGCCGGCAGCGUCCCUAGCGAUUGGCUGAAGCACCACCCCCUCUUAAAGGGGCCGCGGCUCGGACUGCACAGAAGCAGCUUUGCCUUGUGGCACAGGCUGAGCCUCUGCCCACCCCCAGAGGUGAACGAAAGGCACCCAGUCUCUCCUCCCGGCUCUGGGACCCUAGAGAUCACAGGAGUGGAGCCCUGUGACCCCAGCCCCGAGAUCAGCUCUCUUUGCCUCGGGAGCUUCCAGGACCUGCCCCUGCCCUCCACUGGACCUCAGCUUCGCAAUCCACAAAGGAAGCGGCCUGGCUGGAGCUCUGGGGUCCCUCAAGUGCAGCGCCUCAGGAUGCAGGCCGGGCUCCCUUGUCCCAUUGCAGAGGGGGCGCUUAAAAACACGGAAAGCUGGGGGCUGGAGGGACAGUCCCGAGGGCCGCAGGGCCUCCCCGGCCUCCCUGUUCGCAUCUGUCCUGUGGGAGCCUGGGGGCCUCCUAGGGCCCAGACACCCGCGGCCUCACCAGGGCUGCCUGGGUCACCCGGCUCCCCAGGAUGCAGGCAGGGGCUCUGGUGUCCCGCGCUGCCGCACCUCAACUCCAUCCUAGUUCUGGAGGCUGUGAAGUCUGAGGUCAAGGGGCCAUAUCUGGUGAAGGCCUGCUUGAUAGUGAGGACUCUGGAGAGUUCCAAAUUGGCAAAUGGCAUCAUAUGGUUUGGGACCCUCUCGCUGGACGAGAUUCCCGGGCUUGCGUUCAGUUCACAACAGAGGUGCAUUCAUGGGAUCAUGGCUCUCACUUCAAGCCUCAAACUCCUGGGCUCAAGCAGUCCUCCCACCUCAGCCUCCUGAGUAGCUCGG
rnacentral:lncRNA from 13 species